UACAGAGGUCUCAAGCGUUGUUCGGAUUCAUUGGGCGUAAAGGGUGCGUAGGCGGCGCGGUAAGUCGGGUGUGAAAUCUUGGAGCUUAACUCCGAAACUGCAUUCGAUACUGCCGUGCUUGAGGACUGGAGAGGAGACUGGAAUUUACGGUGUAGCGGUGGAAUGCGUAGAUAUCAGGAAGAACACCAAUGGCGAAAGCAGCUUUCUGGGACGGUACUGACGCUGAGACGCGAAAGCGUGGGGAGCGAACAGG
rnacentral:rRNA from 1 species